UCAUCUGAAUGUGACAUUUUCAUUCUGGUUCUAGACUUUCAGACUGCAGUAUCACUGAAGAAGGUUAUAAAGCUCUGGCUUCAGCUCUGAGAUCAAACCCUUCACACCUGAUAGAGCUGGAUCUCACAGGAAAUGAUCCUGGACAAUCAGGAGUGAAGGAGCUCAGUGAUUUACUACAGGAUCCAAACUGUCAACUCAAGAUACUGAGGUUUUUGGGUCCUGCUGCAAAUGAAGCCUGUCAGUAUGUGACUGGAAUUGUGGGUAAAAACCCGUUACUACUGAGAGAACUGAAUCUGAGUGAACAUGAACUAGGAGACACACGAGUGAAUCAGAUCGCUGCUCUACUGCAGGAUAAACACUGUCAACUCAACACACUGAAUCUGUGUAGAUGCAGAAUUACAGAGGAACAGUGUCUCAUCCUGACUUCAGCUCUGAAAUCAAACCCAUCACACCUGAGAGAACUGAACCUAAGUGAGAAUCAAAUAAAAAACACAGGAGUGAAUCACUUAUGUGACGUACUGAAGGAUUCACACUGUAAACUGGAGAGAUUGAGGUCAGUAACAUUCACAUACAAGAAUCAAAAUGAUUAAAAUCACUUCAACAGUUUAAACCAAAACACUUUAUAGUAUCUAACGAUGUCUACAGAAGCUUCUUAAACGAGCUCAUCCAGUAAGUAAAACUGUUAAAGUGUGGAAUAAAGAGUCUUCAACAUGUUUUACACUAAACAAUACUUUUGGAUUGAACUAUUUUUAGAGUUUACCACAA